CGAUUAUGCAGAGGCAUUUACUGUUACUGACUCAGAGUAAAUAUUUACUCUGGGGAGGAAGAGGAGGAGCUCGUAUAGUCACCAACACACAGUGUGAAAGACUUUAGAAAGGAAAGGCUUCAAGCUGCUGUCUCCACUUGUAAAUAUGCCAGAAAAUCUUCUCAAAUUCCACCUUUUUCUUCCUCUGACAGGAUAACUUCUUCUCUUAUUACGCUCUUCACACACGUCUUUUCAUCAAAACAAACUCGUCAUCCCACUCUGUCUGAUUUCACCGCCAACCAUCCUUAAUGUAACUUAUGAAAUCCCCACCAAAUACUUUUUCUUCGCCCAGGCGCACACUCCCAAGGACUCAUACCGACCAGCCCCCAGCUCCAUUUCUUCAUCCCUUCAUCCAUUCUGCAACAGAUCCAGGGCAGCUUUUCUAAAAACAGAGCUCUCAUUCACUGCAGCCUAACUGCGCCACUUCCUCUACCACCCUGCGCUCAGACUCAUUCAAACACACACAUGUUCACCUUUUGCCCUUCUCAUUUCCUCUGUUCCUCUCUUAGUUCCCCAACGCAACAGCACAAAAAACACACCAACACACAAUCAUACUUGUGAUGGGCCUCAGGCGCGCCAUGUUAUGACAAACACACCUAACAGAUAAAGGGAUGUGUCACUUUCGGUCUAGCUCACCCCCUAAAUUACUCACAUACACACAGACAUUGAACACAUACAAGCCCGGGCGAAGUCCUGCAAUCAGAGAUAAAAACUCAAGAGCUGUGCUGCAGGGGUAGAUAGAGCUAACGCAGAGGCUAAUGUAGGGUAAAUAUGUAACCCAAUGAGUCAGGAUCGGCAGUCACAGGACCGCUAUUAGCCCUGCUGGCACACACAAGGGGGACACACUCUGCCAAAACACUAAACUGCCUUAAAGUGGGGGCAAGACGACCAGGGCAGGACGCAGACAGAAAGACCGAAAGAACAAGAGGAGGGUUAAAUGACGACAAGAGCAGAUGCCAAAUUAUCUUCGCAGGGAAAAGCUAAGAGCUCUGAAGUGCCAAGCUGGCUCCCAUUACAAGUAUCUCCUUCCACUUGAUGAGAGAAAGCUGCAGAUAUGAUCUGCAGCCAGUGGAAAAAACAACCCACUCACAUGUCGCUCUGGGUAUUUUUGUCCCUCUGAUAUGGAUCCUGUGUCUCUUUCUGGUGGGAUACCUGCUCAUCCAUCAUGCAGAAGAUUAGUCUUUAUUAGACAGAGUCGCAAUUUAUUUAGAGUGGCAACCUUCAAAAAUCCCAAACCAGCCCUGUGGUUGUUGCUGCAGCGCCACCACAGGCAAGGAGGUGAACAGUUUUUUCAGCCACUUUGGAAAGAGAACGGCACCAGCUGGAAAUGAAAGUUUGGUCAAUUAAAA